rnacentral:rRNA from 1 species
UACAGAGGUCUCAAGCGUUGUUCGGAUUCAUUGGGCGUAAAGGGUGCGUAGGCGGCGCGGUAAGUCGGGUGUGAAAUCUCGGAGCUUAACUCCGAAACUGCAUUCGAUACUGCCGUGCUUGAGGACUGGAGAGGAGACUGGAAUUUACGGUGUAGCGGUGAAAUGCGUAGAUAUCGUAAGGAAGACCAGUGGCGAAGGCGGGUCUCUGGACAGUUCCUGACGCUGAGGCACGAAGGCUAGGGGAGCGAACGGG